rnacentral:rRNA from 1 species
AAUCAACGCUGGCGGCGUGCCUAACACAUGCAAGUCGAACGCGGUUACGUUUGUUUCGCAAGAAACAGGCGUAACUGAGUGGCGAACGGGUGAGUAACACGUGGGUGAUCUACCUUCGAGUGGGGGAUAACGUUCCGAAAGGAACGCUAAUACCGCAUGACGUUCUGGGUUUGAAGACCUGGAAACCAAAGCCGGGGACC